GCUUACGGCCAUACCACCCUGAACACGCCCUCAUCUCGGAAGCUAAGCAGGGUCGGGCCUGGUUAGUACUUGGAUGGGAGACCGCCUGGGAAUACCAGGUGCUGUAAGCU
rnacentral:rRNA from 1 species